GAUGAACGCUAGCGGCAGGCUUAACACAUGCAAGUCGAGCGGAGAUGAGGUGCUUGCACCUUAUCUUAGCGGCGGACGGGUGAGUAAUGCUUAGGAAUCUGCCUAUUAGUGGGGGACAACAUUCCGAAAGGAAUGCUAAUACCGCAUACGCCCUACGGGGGAAAGCAGGGGAUCUUCGGACCUUGCGCUAAUAGAUGAGCCUAAGUCGGAUUAGCUAGUUGGUGGGGUAAAGGCCUACCAAGGCGACGAUCUGUAGCGGGUCUGAGAGGAUGAUCCGCCACACUGGGACUGAGACACGGCCCAGACUCCUACGGGAGGCAGCAGUGGGGAAUAUUGGACAAUGGGCGGAAGCCUGAUCCAGCCAUGCCGCGUGUGUGGAGAAGGCCUUUUGGUUGUAAAGCACUUUAAGCGAGGAGGAGGCUACCUGGAUUAAUACUCUAGGAUAGUGGAUGUUACUCGCAGAAUAAGCACCGGCUAACUCUGUGCCAGCCGCCGCCGUAA
rnacentral:rRNA from 1 species